CACGGAGUUAGCCGAUCCUUAUUCUCAAGGUACACUCAACCCGGUACACGUACCGGGGUUUGUUCCCCUGCAAAAGCAGUUUACAACCCAUAGGGCCGUCCUCCUGCACGCGGCAUGGCUGGUUCAGGCUUGCGCCCAUUGACCAAUAUUCCUUACUGCUGCCUCCCGUAGGAGUCUGGUCCGUGUCUCAGUACCAGUGUGGGGGUUUCUCCUCUCAGAGCCCCUAGGCAUCGUUGCCUUGGUAAGCCGUUACCUUACCAACUAGCUAAUGCCACGCGAGCCCAUCCGUCCCCUAUGAAUAUUUGGUUGAAAAACUGAUGCCACCUCUCAACUUCAUGCGGUAUUAAUCCCUCUUUCGAGGGGCUAUCCCCCGUGGGACGGGCAGGUUGCUCACGCGUUACGCACCCGUGCGCCACUCUCAUCACCCCCGAAGGAGUGAACUCCCGUUCGACUUGCAUGUAUUAGGCCUGCCGCUAGCGUUCAUCCUGAGCCAGGAUCAAACUC
rnacentral:rRNA from 1 species